rnacentral:rRNA from 1 species
AACGAACGCUGGCGGCAGGCUUAACACAUGCAAGUUGAGCGCCCCGUAAGGGGAGCGGCAGACGGGUGAGUAACGCGUGGGAAUCUACCCAACCCUACGGAAUAACGCAUGGAAACGUGUGCUAAUACCGUAUACGCCCUUUUGGGGAAAGAUUUAUCGGGGAUGGAUGAACCCGCGUUGGAUUAGCUAGUUGGUGGGGUAAAGGCCUACCAAGGCGACGAUCCAUAGCUGGUCUGAGAGGAUGAUCAGCCACAUUGGGACUGAGACACGGCCCAAACUCCUACGGGAGGCAGCAGCGGGGAAUAUUGGACAAUGGGCGCAAGCCUGAUCCAGCCAUGCCGCGUGAGUGAUGAAGGCCCUAGGGUUGUAAAGCUCUUUCACCGGAGAAGAUAAUGACGGUAUCCGGAGAAGAAGCCCCGGCUAACUUCGUGCCAGCCGCCGCCGUAA